rnacentral:rRNA from 1 species
UAGGGAAUCUUCGGCAAUGGGGGCAACCCUGACCGAGCAACGCCGCGUGAGUGAAGAAGGUUUUCGGAUCGUAAAGCUCUGUUGUAAGUCAAGAACGGGUGUGAGAGUGGAAAGUUCACACUGUGACGGUAGCUUACCAGAAAGGGACGGCUAACUACGUGCCAGCAGCCGCGGUAAUACGUAGGUCCCGAGCGUUGUCCGGAUUUAUUGGGCGUAAAGCGAGCGCAGGCGGUUUGAUAAGUCUGAAGUUAAAGGCUGUGGCUCAACCAUAGUUCGCUUUGGAAACUGUCAAACUUGAGUGCAGAAGGGGAGAGUGGAAUUCCAUGUGUAGCGGUGAAAUGCGUAGAUAUAUGGAGGAACACCGGUGGCGAAAGCGGCUCUCUGGUCUGUAACUGACGCUGAGGCUCGAAAGCGUGGGGAGCGAACAGGAUUAGAUACCCUGGUAGUCCACGCCGUAAACGAUGAG